GAUGUACUCCCUCCGUCCGGAAAUACUUGUCCUAGAAAUGGAUAAAAUGGAUGUAUCUAUAACUAAAAUAAGUCUAGAUACAACCAUUUCUAGGACAAGUAUUUUCGGACGGAGGGAGUAUAUA
rfam:Triticum urartu cultivar G1812 contig699268, whole genome shotgun sequence.